UACGAAGGGGGCUAGCGUUGUUCGGAAUUACUGGGCGUAAAGGGCGCGUAGGCUGUGCUGUAAGUCAGGCGUGAAAUCCCCGGGCUCAACCUGGGAAUUGCGUUUGAUACUGCGGCGCUUGAAUGCAGGAGAGGAUGGCGGAAUUCCCAGUGUAGAGGUGAAAUUCGUAGAUAUUGGGAAGAACACCGGUGGCGAAGGCGGCCAUCUGGCCUGUGAUUGACGCUGAGGCGCGAAAGCGUGGGGAG
rnacentral:rRNA from 1 species